GGGAUCAAUACCAACCAUCCGGGAGCAGGCCAGUGAGGACACAUCCAAUUUUGAAGCUACUGUCCCUGGCAGCCCUGCACUACAAUGAAAACGCUGAGCGUGCACAACCCACUACAUCCCCUGGAAACCCUCUGUAUAAACUGCAGUUCCCAAAGGCCAGGAAGGGAGAAUGCAGAGCAAAACCAGUAAAGACUGACCCCACAUUCCGCUACGUGGCCAACUUGAUGGACCUCAUCUUCGACCAAGUCUUUGUGGACCC